rnacentral:rRNA from 1 species
UACGAAGGGGGCUAGGCGUUGCUCGGAAUCACUGGGCGUAAAGCGCACGUAGGCGGAUCUUUAAGUCAGGGGUGAAAUCCCAAGGCUCAACCUUGGAACUGCCUUUGAUACUGGGGAUCUCGAGUCCGGAAGAGGUUGGUGGAACUGCGAGUGUAGAGGUGAAAUUCGUAGAUAUUCGCAAGAACACCAGUGGCGAAGGCG